AGCCUUUACCUUGGCAAUGAGCUAUUAUGUGAGGUAACAGAGGCUUGACCACACCUCUGUCCAGCUUAUUCCUCUGUGCCUGAGUGCAGCAUGAGGAACAGCCAUGCUUUCCCAAACUGUGCUGAGCACUCCGCCCCAGCACUGUGGAAGGCUUUCCCUGUGGGAACACCAUGAAAGAAGAGCAGAGAGGACCAGAGUGAGACAGUGUGUUCUGGACAAGAGCAGACCGCUGCACUGACGAACUCCCAGCAUCUGUGGCUGCCUCUAUAAGACCCGAACAAGAUCAAGCCCGUCACAUUCCAGCACAGAGGGUCGAGGGGCUCAUGUGCCCUCAUCACCAGCUGAGGAGGGGUGGAGAGUUGAUGGUUUCUGCUGAAGGGAGACGAUGAAGGAUAAUGGAAAUCACAUCGGUCUUGCUUAGAGUCAAAAGAUGAAUUUAGAUCUAAGUUCCGACACUAACCCACAGUGUGAUCAAGAGUAAAAGUUGCACCUCUGCUAAGCUGUUUCAUCUACUAAACAAAAGGCCUAGAUGUUAUCCCGAGGCCCUUCCAGUGUUAGCAUGUGAUGUCAAGUGGAGCGGAUCCAACAGCAGUGAUGGCAAAUUCCAGUGCAUACAGGAACCCAUGCACAUAACAGAAUUUUCUCCUUACAUCCUACUCACUCCACUGAAGGAGCAAGCCCAAAUGUGACGGAGGAGGCAGCAGUGAGUGAACUGGAAAAAGUACAUGGAUGCAAUAAAGAGAGCUAGUGAGUCUGA